GACGAACGCUGGCGGCGUGCCUAACACAUGCAAGUCGAGCGGAGACAGUGAGUAGCUUGCUAUGAGCUGUUUUAGCGGUGGACGGGUGAGUAACGCGUGAGCAACCUUUCCCAGACAGGGGAAUAACACACCGAAAGGUGUACUAAUACCGCAUAAGACUACGGGAUCACAUGGUUCUGGGGUAAAAGAUUUAUCGGUUUGGGGUGGGCUCGCGUCCGAUUAGGUAGUUGGUGAGGUAACGGCCCACCAAGGCGACGAUCAGUAGCCGGCCUGAGAGGGUGAACGGCCACAUUGGGACUGAGACACGGCCCAAACUCCUACGGGAGGCAGCAGUGGGGAAUAUUGCACAAUGGGGGAAACCCUGAUGCAGCGACGCCGCGUGAGUGAUGAAGUAUUUCGGUAUGUAAAACUCUAUCAGCAGGGAAGAUAAUGACGGUACCUGACUAAGAAGCACCGGCUAAAUACGUG
rnacentral:rRNA from 1 species